GGUCAUGAGUUCCAGCAUCAAGCCCCGGCUAACUGGACGGCAACCCUCCACCGCGGCGGGGUGCUCCGGGUGAAGACCAGGCCGGUAGCCAACAUCAUCGGCAAGCGUGGGUC
rnacentral:ncRNA from 2 species